GCCAAAUUGAACUUGGACCAUUUUUUGAAGGUUGUACGUCUCUUAUACAUGCCCGUUUGCACAGCGUGUGUGGAUCCUCAGGAACUACAAGGGAUUACAUGACAAGAUUAAAUUAGUUCCAAUUGACCUUCAAAACAGGCCUGCUUGGUACAAAGAGAAAGUCUACCAUGAAAACAAGGUACCCUCAUUG